rnacentral:rRNA from 1 species
GACGAACGCUGGCGGCGUGCCUAAUACAUGCAAGUCGAACGCAGUGGGGACGGGUGAGUAACACGUGGGUAACCUCCCAUCAGAGGGGAUAACACUUGGAAACAGGUGCUAAACCGAUACUGAUGGAUGGACCCGCGGUGCAUUAGCUAGUUGGUGAGGUAACGGCUCACCAAGGCCACGAUGCAUAGCCGACCUGAGAGGGUGAUCGGCCACACUGGGACUGAGACACGGCCCAGACUCCUACGGGAGGCAGCAGUAGGGAAUAUUCGGCAAUGGACGAAAGCCUGACCGAGUAAUGCCGCGUGAGUGAAGAAGGCCUUCGGAUCGUAAAGCUCUUUUGUUAGAGAAGCGUUAUCUAACCAAGAAGCCCCGGCUAACUACGUGCCAGCAGCCGCGGUAAUAC